AGUGAAUAGAUACCCGGGUAGUCCACGCCCUAAACGAUGUCGACUAGUCGUUCGGAGCAGCAAAUGCACUGAGUGACGCAGCUAACGCGUGAAGUCGACCGCCUGGGGAGUACGGCCGCAAGGUUAAAACUCAAAGGAAUUGACGGGGACCCGCACAAGCGGUGGAUGAUGUGGAUUAAUUCGAUGCAACGCGAAAAACCUUACCUACCCUUGACAUGUCUGGAACCUUGCUGAGAGGCGAGGGUGCCUUCGGGAGCCAGAACACAGGUGCUGCAUGGCUGUCGUCAGCUCGUGUCGUGAGAUGUUGGGUUAAGUCCCGCAACGAGCGCAACCCUUGUCACUAGUUGCCAUCAUUUGGUUGGGCACUCUAGUGAGACUGCCGGUGACAAACCGGAGGAAGGUGGGGAUGACGUCAAGUCCUCAUGGCCCUUAUGGGUAGGGCUUCACACGUCAUACAAUGGUCGGUACAGAGGGUUGCCAAGCCGCGAGGUGGAGCCAAUCCCUUAAAGCCGAUCGUAGUCCGGAUCGUA
rnacentral:rRNA from 1 species